rnacentral:rRNA from 1 species
UACGUAGGUGGCAAGCGUUGUCCGGAUUUACUGGGCGUAAAGGAUGCGUAGGCGGACAUUUAAGUCAGAUGUGAAAUACCCGAGCUUAACUUGGGUGCUGCAUUUGAAACUGGGUGUCUAGAGUGCAGGAGAGGUAAGUGGAAUUCCUAGUGUAGCGGUGAAAUGCGUAGAGAUCGGGAAGAACAUCAGUGGCGAAGGCGGCCUGCUGGGCUGUUGCUGACGCUGAGGCGCGACAGCGUGGGGAGCAAACAGG